CUCGGAGCCCACGCGGGCCCGCUCCCCUCCUCCCACUUUGUACUUCUGAAGCGAGCAAGAAGGAAGUGUGAACCCCACCAUGUAGGAGCGAGAGGGGGGACAGGCCUGGGGCUCUGUCCGAGCCAAGGCGAACACCUUUUCUGCAGCCCCAAUUAGCGCCCGGCGGAUUAGCACCUUCUUAAGCUCUGCCUGGAAGCAGCCGAGGUCUUUCGCCGUCCACCCCCACCCGCCGCGGACUGGGAGUCAGGGCUCCCCGCCCCCACGCGCCCCACCCCCGCCCGCCCCGAGAAAAGUUUUCACCGAAAACCCGAGGCUGCCAGAGCCGGAGUGGAAGCCACUGACGUCACUGGCGGGCUAGGGCACGGAGGGCGCCUGGAGACUCGGAUGGCGACCGAGGAUGUGGCUGCUUCCAAGCAGAGGCGCGGCGCCAGCUGCUGAAGUGGGAAGAGGGCAUGUUUCUGUCGGAGGGGUCUGGACAGACGCCUGCGUCCCUUUACGCAGCCCUGGGGAGCUCCUGAUCAUCCUCGCCAAGCUCAGAGGCCUCCAAGCGCGGCCAAGCUUGGCUGGCGAAGCCGUGGCGCCCCGGCCCUUUCUCGCCUCUGCACCGGCUGUGCUCCGAGCUGCCUCCCUUCCAAGGACACUGGGCAGCCGGCUUCCUUCUGCUUCUGCCCCCCUCCCCCCGCUUAGAAACGGUACUUUCCGUUGGGUCCCCCAGAGCAGCCCAGGGUCUAACUCCCAACGCCCCGCGGCCCCAUGUUAAAGCUCCUGCGGUGAGCGGGCCUUGCGCGCAGCGCCCUGGCAGUCUUGCAAACAGGAUUCCUGGGAAAGUUUGCUCGGACUCCGUCAGCCCAGGACAGACCCCCCCCCCCACCUCUGCUGCUCUCGACCUCUGCCCCCAGAGGCAGGAGUUGGGCUUCCUGGGAGCAGCAAGCCAACGCCACGGCCCCUCCUCCCUCCACAGCUGCCGGUCCCGAGGGCGCAGGACCCAGCCCCAGGCUGUGCUCCCGGAGCCGGGGGAGGAGAGCGAACCUCAGGGCUGGCUCUCCACAGCCGCCGGAGCUGAGUGCAUCCCGAUCGGCUUUUAGGAUGGCAUUGACUGGGACAAGCUGUUCCCAGCCCCGUAAGCGUUAAUCUGCCUGUUAAUCAAAGCACUGAGGGGCUCAAUGAGGGUUUUAUUAGCGACCGGAGAGCAGAGGCAGCAGCCAGGGAUCAAAAGCCAGGGUCCCAGGUACUUUGUCAGCAAGGCACUCAAAAAAAUUGUAUUUUCAAUUAGAGAACAAUUCGGGGCUUUUCAUCAUCUCCUAACCAGGUCUCACAGAUGCUGACUUCCAGACUGUGCGCAGGGGAGAACCAAAUGCCCGGGGGCGGACCGGGGCGGCCGAGGGGCCCUGACGCCUCCCGACGCAGUCGAAAGGGAAGCCGCGAGCCACACCGCCAAUGUGGGCUUCAGACCCUGGGUCGCCCGCGCCACUGCCGGGCUGCCGGAAGUUUACGGAGCCGGAGCCGAGAGACUCCCACGCGCCUCCUCUGCCCUGGAGGGAGGCUGGGUCCCCUCCAGGGUGCCUCUCAAACCCUAAAACAAAUACAUAAAAGCCCAGGCCUUGGGGACUUUUGAACAGCAAUUGCUCCAAUAAUCCAAAUUGUACGAGAACUCCAGGGAAAAGAGCCAACCCAGCCACACCCGCCCUGCGAUCGCGAGGGCAGCGGCGAGGCCACCGCGAGGACUCGGUCAGAGGCGAUUAUGUCACCGCGUUUUCUCGCCGUGACAGCCGAAUAAACACGAUCUCCAAUAAACAUCUCUAAUGAGGGAGGAGGCCCGAGGACGGCUGGGUUUGAUUUAUGACUGGAGAAGGUCCUCUGCCCACAGCGAGGCGGGCAGCCUGCUCUCCGCUCAGCUCGAGGAGAGAUCCGCGUGGGACCCAGCCCAGAAAUUAAGAGAAGAAGAGGAGAAGUGCGCACACUACUGAGAAAACACCAUGUGCAUCUCUGGAGCAUUGCAGACGCCAUACCAGCGUAGCCCAGAGAAGAAACCAGCUGGGCUGUGAGGGUGCUUUCCUGCUCCUCCCUUCCUUCUUUCGUUUUAACCCUUUUUAUAUUUUAGAUGAAAAUUGCGGGAACGUUUUGUGAACCCGAACGUAAAAAAGGAAGCUAUUUAGCAGAGGCGCUGUUUGCGGCUCUUCGCCUGUCUGAGGGACUCCAUUGGGCCUGCUCUGCACACCUCUGAUUUCUCUGCCCUUACAAGAAGAGCAUCUCGGGCCUCCUUCUCUGCAAAAAGUUUUCUUCAACCUUGGAGAAAAAUAUCCAGUCCUUCCAGUUAGAGUUCCCAGUACUAAAUCCCUACUUCAGUCAGUUCAAGGAAUCGGCCACCCUCUCCUAAGCGCGUUUCCUAUGAAGGCAUCGCGCACUGUGUUUGAUUUCUGUCUCUCCGUCUGGGUGGAGAUGGAGACAUCAGCUGAAUUCCCUGGGGGUGAUUGGAUGCGACUCGCUGCAAGUCGACAGGCACGUCCUGGAUGUUAGAGAUUCACUUCUGCUCAACGUGACAAGGCCGGCUUCGAUCUGCAAUUGUAUUUGAAUGGGCAAUGAGCGGAAAGAUGCCUCGUCAUUAAGCCUGCUUCUACUUUAGCAAAAUAAGGGGCAGCUUCAUUUGCACACAAAUGCUCAUGAAGCUCGGAUUCCUGCAACUCUUUAAUAAAGGGGUGGCUGUGUAAUCUAAACUGGAGGUGAGGAGGAGGCAGAGGGAGAUGAGGUGCUCCACUGCGUGCCCCCCAAGGUCUGUGUGAUCCAGUUGACUUUUUUACUUGAAAUCUUAAAUAAGAUGGGAGUUGUAACAAGAGGAUUGGCACUUACUCCGUGACCCUUAUAAUUGGAUUAAAUAUAGACUGAGACAUACAAAGACACCGGAGAUUGACACCUGCCAACCGGACUUCCUUAUGACUGAUGGUGAUGCUUCGUGCUGGCAACAAUAAUGAAAUAAAUUGUAC
rnacentral:lncRNA from 1 species